rnacentral:rRNA from 1 species
CGGCUCAGUAACACGUGGAUAACCUACCCUUGAGACGGGGAUAAACCCGGGAAACUGGGUAUAAUACCCGAUAGAUCUCGACUGCUGGAAUGCAUCGAGCUUGAAAGCUCCGGCGCUCAAGGAUGGGUCUGCGGCCUAUCAGGUAGUAGUGGGUGUAGCGUACCUACUAGCCUACGACGGGUACGGGUUGUGAGAGCAAGAGCCCGGAGAUGGAUUCUGAGACACGAAUCCAGGCCCUACGGGGUGCAGCAGGCGCGAAAACUUUACAAUGCUGGAAACAGCGAUAAGGGGACCUCGAGUGCCAGGUUACAAAUCUGGCUGUCGUGAUGCCUAAAAAGCAUUGCAUAGCAAGGGCCGGGCAAGACCGGUGCCAGCCGCCGCGGUAACACCGGCGGCUCGAGUGGUAACCGUUAUUAUUGGGUCUAAAGGGUCUGUAGCCGGCCGGAUAAGUCUCUUGGGAAAUCUGGCAGCUUAACUGUCAGGCUUUCAGGAGAUACUGUCUGGCUCGAGGCCGGGAGAGGUGAGAGGUACUUCAGGGGUAGGGGUGAAAUCUUGUAAUCCUUGAAGGACCACCAGUGGCGAAGGCGUCUCACCAGAACGGACCUGACGGCAAGGGACGAAAACUAGGGGCACGAACCGGAUUAGAUACCCGGGUAGUCCUAGCCGU